UACAGAGGGUGCGAGCGUUAAUCGGAAUUACUGGGCGUAAAGCGCACGUAGGUGGUUAUAUAAGUUGACUGUGAAAGCCCCGGGCUUAACCUGGGAGGGUCAGUUAAUACUGUAUGACUAGAGUACUUUAGAGGGUAGUGGAAUUUCUGGUGUAGCGGUGAAAUGCGUAGAGAUCAGAAAGAACACCUGUGGCGAAGGCGGCUACCUGGGAAGAUACUGACACUGAGGUGCGAAAGCGUGGGGAG
rnacentral:rRNA from 1 species